rnacentral:rRNA from 1 species
GAUGAACGCUAGCGGCAGGCUUAAUACGUGCAAGUCGAGGGGCAGCAGUCCCGCAGCAAUGCGGGAGCUGGCGACCGGCAAACGGGUGCGGAACACGUACAGAACCUUCCUUCGAGCGGGGAAUAGCCCAGAGAAAUUUGGAUUAAUACCCCAUAGCAUUACGAAGUGGCAUCACUUUGUAAUUAAAGAUUUAUCACUCGAAGAUGGCUGUGCGGCUGAUAGGUAGUUGGCGGAGUAACGGCCCACCAAGCCUUCGAUCAGUAACUGGUGUGAGAGCACGACCAGUCACACGGGCACUGGGACACGGGCCCGACUCCUACGGGAGGCAGCAGUAAGGAAUAUUGGUCAAUGGACGAAAGUCUGAACCAGCCAUGCCGCGUGGAGGAUGAAGGUCCUCUGGA